rnacentral:tRNA from 1 species
GGAGAUUUAGCUCAGUGGUAGAGCGCUUGCCUAGCAAGCGAAAGGCCCUGGGUUCGGUCCCCAGCUCUG